GACGAACGCUGGCGGCGUGCUUAACACAUGCAAGUCGAACGGAAAGGCCCUGCUUUUGUGGGGUGCUCGAGUGGCGAACGGGUGAGUAACACGUGAGUAACCUGCCCUGGACUUUGGGAUAACUUCAGGAAACUGGGGCUAAUACCGGAUAGGAGCUCCUGCUGCAUGGUGGGGGUUGGAAAGUUUCGGCGGUUGGGGAUGGACUCGCGGCUUAUCAGCUUGUGGGUGGGGUAGUGGCUUACCAAGGCUUUGACGGGUAGCCGGCCUGAGAGGGUGACCGGCCACAUUGGGACUGAGAUACGGCCCAGACUCCUACGGGAGGCAGCAGUGGGGAAUAUUGCACAAUGGGCGGAAGCCUGAUGCAGCAACGCCGCGUGCGGGAUGACGGCCUUCGGGUUGUAAACCGCUUUCGCCUGUGACGAAGCGUGAGUGACGGUAAUGGGUAAAGAAGCACCGGCUAACUACGUG
rnacentral:rRNA from 1 species